rnacentral:rRNA from 1 species
GACGAACGCUGGCGGCGGGCUUAACACAUGCAAGUCGAACGGUAAGGCCCUUCGGGGUACACGAGUGGCGAACGGGUGAGUAACACGUGGGUGAUCUGCCCUGCACUUCGGGAUAAGCCUGGGAAACUGGGUCUAAUACCGGAUAGUACCCUGGGAUGCAUGUCCUGGGGUGGAAAGCUUUUGCGGUGUGGGAUGGGCCCGCGGCCUAUCAGCUUGUUGGUGGGGUGAUGGCCUACCAAGGCGACGACGGGUAGCCGGCCUGAGAGGGUGACCGGCCACACUGGGACUGAGAUACGGCCCAGACUCCUACGGGAGGCAGCAGUGGGGAAUAUUGCACAAUGGGCGCAAGCCUGAUGCAGCGACGCCGCGUGAGGGAUGACGGCCUUCGGGUUGUAAACCUCUUUCAGCACCGACGAAGCGCAAGUGACGGUAGGUGCAGAAGAAGGACCGGCCAACUACGUGCCAGCAGCCGCCGUAA